ACCAGAUAAACCUCAAACACAAGAACUGCCUAAAAUUAAAGAGGAGCCAAACUCAACAUGGUAGUAGGAACUCAUAUGAGUGCAGACCUGAUGUCAGUCUGCAUGAGAAAUCUGAGCCUCCAGAAUCAUCCAGUGGAGAGCUGUGAGCUUCAGAAAGCUUGGGCAUCAGCUGUGUAUUAUAAUUGUACAACAUAGGAAAAUGUUUGCUUAUAUCCAGACCUUUUUGUACCAUUCAAAAGAUUUUUUCUUUUUUUAAUCAGCACAAGAUGAAUUGCUUCUGUGAAAUUCACCAAAUUUUGUCUCUUUGGUUGAGGGAGUGUUCUGUACAUCUGACUUGUCAACCAGAAUACCUUUAUUAAAAUGAAGAAAACAAUAUUCUGUUUGUACUGGUGGCGCUAUUUGUGUUGAAUGUUAGGUUUUCAGUUAUACUGAACCUAUCUAUUGUGACCCUCUUCAAUGCUACACAACAAUAAUACUUAAUUGUAAAUGAUUUUUUUUGCGCUCAAAAUCUUUAUAUGGUGUUUCUAGAAAUAGUGAAAAUAAGAGAACUUGAGAACAGUUUGAGUAUUUUCUCCCCCUUUGUUAUUUCCAGAGUUCUGUGAUCUCUGUAAUGAGGAAAUUGUGCAAAGGAGUCAAGAAAAUGUAAUUCUAACAAGG